rnacentral:rRNA from 1 species
CAGCUCGUGUCGUGAGAUGUUGGUUAGUCCGCACGAGCGCAACCCUCGACCUUAGUUGCCAGCAUUCAGUUGGGCACUCUAAGGUGACUGCCGGCUAAAAGUCGGAGGAAGGUGGGGAUGACGUCAAAUCAUCAUGCCCCUUAUGACCUGGGCUACACACGUGCUACAAUGGUUGGUACAACGAGUUGCGAGUCGGUGACGGCGAGCUAAUCUCUUAAAGCCAAUCUCAGUUCGGAUUGUAGGCUGCAACUCGCCUACAUGAAGUCGGAAUCGCUAGUAAUCGCGGAUCAGCACGCCGCGGUGAAUACGUUCCCGGGCCUU